GUUAGCAUUUAAGCUAGCGGACUUUUUCCGCUAACUCGUUAGCAUUUAAGCUAGCGGACUUUUUCCGCUAACUCGUUAGCAUUUAAGCUAGCCGACUUCAUCGUUGCAGACUUUCUCCAGAGUUUAUGAACAACUAACGGAUGCAUUGGCCGAAAGAGAAAGAGAGUGGCAUGACAUGAGAAUAAGUGGUUACUUCUGAGAUGAUGACAUCCACCAAGAAGCCCCUGAUGAAAAGAAGGCACUCCUGAACCUCUUUUCUGAUCAGAGGCAGCAGGAAUACUUUUCAGUUUCUUAUGGGAAUUGGCAAAGAAACUCUGACUGACAUAAUCAAACACUUUGAUGAGAAUGGGGCAACACCACGGUUAAGGAAGAAGGGCCCACAGCCACGGCCACCCAAGUUAGUCAGCCGUGAACAGACCUACCGAGCCGUGGAAUUUAUUUAUUAGGGAUUGGCAUGUGAAGUUGCUGCCAACCCAUGUGUUCAAGGCCUCAAUGUGGCAUCUAUACAUGAAGACUGCUAAGGAGCUUGGAAGGGAUACCGUGUGUAGCAGCACGUGUGUGGUUGACGAGUGCCGGACACCAGCCGGGCAUCGACGGUCGUGACGGACUCACUGGAGGCGUAAGCCGCAGCUGCAGCUGCCAUGUCCCAUCACAUUUCCCCUGACAGUUUUCAUCAUCUAUUUCGAGUCGUCUCGGGAGAACCUCGUUUUUGACGCGGCAAUUUGAAGUUGUAAUAAUGACAACAACGCACCCAAAAUCGGUGAGUAUAGUAUCGAAGGUUACAUUUUCAUUUUGUGGUAAUCAAAACACAUGAUUCGCCUGCUACGCUUCCUAUUGCAGGACUGUUGCUUCCUCAAAUGAACACCCCUCACCUGAUCAUUAGAUGCUGAUCUGGUGAUUUGAUCCACUACAAUUUCUCAUGAGCUGAAGGAAGAGUUAUGUGACACACUCUGCAGCGUGAGAACAAUGGUGUGAUCAGGGAUUGCUCUAUAUUGUUCCUCAGCCAUCAGCCAGUGAGUGAAUUAUACAGAGGUUUGGGUGCAGAGAGGAGAUUUCUCUCAGCUCAGCUCGGCAGGAGCUUGUCAAGUUUGCCUCAGAAGCAGCAACAGUAUUUUUCAGAAGUGCUUAUUAGAAAAUAAUGUUACAGAAAGCGUUAUAGAACAGCUUGCUCACUUUGAGGAGCUUUAUUUAUUCACCAAAUUACAUGAAAGUGGCAGCAACUGUGCAGCUGGGACCCUCUCUGUGAAGCGUUCGUGUCUUCUCCUCCUAUGGGUUUUCUCUGGUGCUCCGCUUGCUCCCGUAUAAAAGAUCAGGAUAAAUACGGUCAGUGUUGUCCUUUUGUAUUAGUGCUGCUGAGCACUGUUAAGAGUCACAUUGUGAAUGCUUUUCAGUUAGGAGAUUAUCACAGACUGAAAAGAAUAUUGUCUUGAUCUUCAUUCAAGAGUCUUUGGAACUUGUGGGUAACUGAGGGUGUUUGUUUCAGAGCAGGAUAAAUAAUGACACAUCAUAUCAGACUGUGAAGACUUGGUGGUGAAUGGUGUACAUUAAAACGGUGUCAAACUGGCGGCCCACCAUUUAAUAUCAUGUUUUAAUGCAAACAUGGCCCACCAACUUUCUUUAAACACAGUGUGUGAGGAACAGCUGCCAGCGAGGUGAUAGAAUAUAGACAAAAUAUAAUAUUAACAUUAAUACAACUUGCAUACAUUCAACAUUAUGAUUUGGCGCUAUACAAAUAAAAUUGAAUUUAAUUGAAUUGAAAUUAAUUGAACAUUACUUUACAUGUAUAUAAGUUUGUUGAUUUUUUUGAUUACAAGUGUCUGUUUUUGAUACCAAUAGAUUUAUUUUGCAUAAUUAUUGUGGUGUUUUUUUUUUAUUGUGAAGUAUGUACUUUUACUUUCAAUGUAUGUGAAAUAUCAUCAGGAUUUUUUUUAAGCUCAUAAUGCCCACCCCCCUCUUGACCAGACUAGAUGCCCACAGGUCAUUUUGAGUUUGACACCUCUGGUGUACAUCCAUGGUUCCCAACCUGGAGUCCAAGCACCAGAGAUCACACGGGGGGGCCGCAGAGCUUUGUCUGCUCUGAGGUUGUGAGGUUAUUAAAAUCACAUUUGUGCUUAUUAAAUUUAGAAACUCCCACUGACACUCUUUUGGUUAAUCGGAACUCAGUGUCACCCAAAUUUGGGUUCACCCUUAAAUGUAUUAAGCUAUUUUGAACUUCUGUGACCUCCCCAAACGCGUUACUAUUCAUAUUCAAUUCAAUUCAAUUCACUUCAAUUUUAUUUGUAGAUUUGAUGGAAGCACAGAGCAGUUUUUUUUUUUUUAUCAAAUAUCCGCUGUGAGAAUAGGAACAAAAACCUAGAACUGCUGCUUAUUUUUUGCAUAUAAACGUUUGUAAUAUUUAUCCUUGUGGUGUGUGUGCAUGGACAGGGGUUCGGGUUGGCGGUGCCUGCUUUGUCUUAGACACAGUAAAGGUUGGGAACCCCUGGUGUACAUGACAACGGAGCGAUGUAUAACGCAUAAAAAGAAGAAUCAGAAUAAACUUUGACCGAAGCAUGUAACACAUUAAUCUUUCUGACUGAACUGAGUGCUAGAGCUUUCAUGAAUGAUUUGAUUUAUUAUUUAUUUACUUAGAAACCCACAUCACAGUGCAAACGCAGUCAGAAUAUGGAGCUGUUUAACACCGAUUAUACUUCACCCCUAUCUUCUCCGACAUCAGCUUUAAUUGUAGAAUGGAUGCUUGUGUUUGUACGUUAGACCCUGUGAUAGACUGAUGAUUGUGUACCUUCCCUCUCCUCCACUGACUGAUGGAAUUGGCUCGAGCUCCGCCACCUGUGACCCUCAAAUUAUUGGGUGAGAUGGGUGAAUGGGUGCAUUGGU